rnacentral:rRNA from 1 species
UACGAGGGGGGCAAGCGUUGUUCGGAAUUAUUGGGCGUAAAGGGCGCGUAGGCGGUGCGGUAAGUCUGAUGUGAAAUCUCCGGGCUCAACUCGGAGUCUGCAUCAGAAACUGCCGUGCUCGAGUGUGGGAGAGGUGAGUGGAAUUCCCGGUGUAGCGGUGAAAUGCGUAGAUAUUAGCAGGAACACCGGUGGCGAAGGCGGCUAUCUGGCCAAUUACUGACGCUGAGGCGCGAAAGCACGGGGAUCAAACAGG